rnacentral:lncRNA from 1 species
AUUGUGGCCAAUGUGAGGCUUCGCCACACUUUACGUUGCGAGCCUCAAGGAAGUGGGGCUUAGCGACAUCUUUGCUCGAUUGAGGACUGAAGGAUUUCGUCAUCACACCUCAGAUCUAGCAGAGGCUAUCUUUGGUUUCGUCGGUACUCCUAUCAUUGCAUCUCAAAUUUUGUCGAGGUGAUCUAAUGUCUCGUCAAUGAUUUUGACCACACUACACCUCGAAACCCAUCGAGGUGACUUGGGGCC